rnacentral:rRNA from 1 species
GUGGGGAAUAUUCCGCAAUGGACGAAAGUCUGACGGAGCAACGCCGCGUGAGUGAUGAAGGUUUUCGGACUGUAAAGCUCUGUUGUUUAGGACGAAAGUGCCUGUUGCGAAUAGUUACAGGUAUUGACGGUACUGAACGAGGAAGCCACGGCUAACUACGUGCCAGCAGCCGCGGUAAUACGUAGGUGGCAAGCGUUGUCCGGAAUUAUUGGGCGUAAAGAGCAUGUAGGCGGGAAUCUAAGUCUGUUGUGAAAAUGCGGGGCUCAACCCCGUAUUGCGAUGGAAACUGGGUGUCUUGAGUGCAGGAGAGGAAAGGGGAAUUCCCAGUGUAGCGGUGAAAUGCGUAGAUAUUGGGAGGAACACCAGUGGCGAAGGCGCCUUUCUGGACUGUGUCUGACGCUGAGAUGCGAAAGCCAGGGUAGCGAACGGGAUUAGAAACCCGGGUAGUCC